GUACUUUCCUUAGGAUCGUCUCUAACGAUGACAAGAAAGCUCUUCACAGCUCAUGGAACACUUUGGUAAACCAAGCUGGUGGCCAACAGAAUGCUGGAAUUAAACUUGUUCUCUGGAUGUUUGACAAUGUGCCCAACAUGCGUGACAGAUUCAGCAAAUUCAAUGCCCACUCCUCUGAUGAUGCUCUCAAGGCUGAUGCUGAGUUCCUGA
rnacentral:sRNA from 1 species